rnacentral:rRNA from 1 species
UGGAAGGGGCGGCGUGCUAUACAUGCAGUCGAGCGGACAGAUGGGAGCUUGCUCCCUGAUGUUAGCGGCGGACGGGUGAGUAACACGUGGGUAACCUGCCUGUAAGACUGGGAUAACUCCGGGAAACCGGGGCUAAUACCGGAUGGUUGUCUGAACCGCAUGGUUCAGACAUAAAAGGUGGCUUCGGCUACCACUUACAGAUGGACCCGCGGCGCAUUAGCUAGUUGGUGAGGUAACGGCUCACCAAGGCGACGAUGCGUAGCCGACCUGAGAGGGUGAUCGGCCACACUGGGACUGAGACACGGCCCAGACUCCUACGGGAGGCAGCAGUAGGGAAUCUUCCGCAAUGGACGAAAGUCUGACGGAGCAACGCCGCGUGAGUGAUGAAGGUUUUCGGAUCGUAAAGCUCUGUUGUUAGGGAAGAACAAGUGCCGUUCAAAUAGGGCGGCACCUUGACGGUACCUAACCAGAAAGCCACGGCUAACUACGUGCCAGCAGCCGCGGUAAUACGUAGGUGGCAAGCGUUGUCCGGAAUUAUUGGGCGUAAAGGGCUCGCAGGCGGUUUCUUAAGUCUGAUGUGAAAGCCCCCGGCUCAACCGGGGAGGGUCAUUGGAAACUGGGGAACUUGAGUGCAGAAGAGGAGAGUGGAAUUCCACGUGUAGCGGUGAAAUGCGUAGAGAUGUGGAGGAACACCAGUGGCGAAGGCGACUCUCUGGUCUGUAACUGACGCUGAGGAGCGAAAGCGUGGGGAGCGAACAGGAUUAGAUACCCUGGUAGUCCACGCCGUAAACGAUGAGUGCUAAGUGUUUAGGGGGGUUUCCGCCCCUUAGUGCUGCAGCUAACGCAUUAAGCACUCCGCCUGGGGAGUACGGUCGCAAGACUGAAACUCAAAGGAAUUGACGGGGGCCCGCACAAGCGGUGGAGCAUGUGGUUUAAUUCGAAGCAACGCGAAGAACCUUACCAGGUCUUGACAUCCUCUGACAUCCUAGAGAUAGGACGUCCCCUUCGGGGGCAGAGUGACAGUGGUGGCAUGGUUGUCGUCAGCUCGUGUCGUGAGAUGUUGGGUUAAGUCCCGCAACGAGCAGCAACCCUUGAUCUUAGUGCCAGCAUUCAGUUGGGCACUCUAAGGUGACUGUCGGUGACAAACCGAGAAAAGAGGGGGGGGUGAGCGUCGAUCCUCAUGGCCCCUUAUGACCUGGGCUUCUCACGCUGCUCUCAUUGGACGAAACAAGGGAGGGGAAACGAGCGAAGGUGUAGUGCCAUUCUCAUCACACUACUCUGUGUCUCCGAUCUCUCGAGU